CCUACGGGAGGCAGCAGUGAGGAAUAUUGGUCAAUGGACGAGACUCUGAACCAGCCAAGUAGCGUGAAGGAUGACUGCCCUACGGGUUGUAAACUUCUUUUAUAUGGGAAUAAAACAGGGUAUGCAUACCCUCUUGUAUGUACCAUAUGAAUAAGGAUCGGCUAACUCCGUGCCAGCAGCCGCGGUAAUACGGAGGAUGCGAGCGUUAUCCGGAUUUAUUGGGUUUAAAGGGUGCGUAGGCGGAGCGUUAAGUCAGUGGUAAAAUUGAGGGGCUCAACCCCUUCCCGCGAUUGAAACUGGCGCGCUUGAGUGUAAGAGAGGUAUGCGGAAUGCGUGGUGUAGCGGUGAAAUGCAUAGAUAUCACGAAGAACCCCGAUUGUGAAGGCAGCAUGCCGGCUUCCGACUGACGCUGAAGCACGAAGGCGUGGGGAUCGAACAGGAUUAGAUACCCCAGUAGUC
rnacentral:rRNA from 1 species